rnacentral:rRNA from 1 species
GUCGCACGGUAACAGGCAAGCAGCUUGCUGCUUCGCUGACGAGUGGCGGACGGGUGAGUAAUGUCUGGGAAACUGCCUGAUGGAGGGGGAUAACUACUGGAAACGGUAGCUAAUACCGCAUAACGUCGCAAGACCAAAGAGGGGGACCUUCGGGCCUCUUGCCAUCGGAUGUGCCCAGAUGGGAUUAGCUUGUUGGUGGGGUAACGGCUCACCAAGGCGACGAUCCCUAGCUGGUCUGAGAGGAUGACCAGCCACACUGGAACUGAGACACGGUCCAGACUCCUACGGGAGGCAGCAGUGGGGAAUAUUGCACAAUGGGCGCAAGCCUGAUGCAGCCAUGCCGCGUGUAUGAAGAAGGCCUUCGGGUUGUAAAGUACUUUCAGCGGGGAGGAAGGGAGUAAAGUUAAUACCUUUGCUCAUUGACGUUACCCGCAGAAGAAGCACCGGCUAACUCCGUGCCAGCAGCCGCGGUAAUACGGAGGGUGCAAGCGUUAAUCGGAAUUACUGGGCGUAAAGCGCACGCAGGCGGUUUGUUAAGUCAGAUGUGAAAUCCCCGGGCUCAACCUGGGAACUGCAUCUGAUACUGGCAAGCUUGAGUCUCGUAGAGGGGGGUAGAAUUCCAGGUGUAGCGGUGAAAUGCGUAGAGAUCUGGAGGAAUACCGGUGGCGAAGGCGGCCCCCUGGACGAAGACUGACGCUCAGGUGCGAAAGCGUGGGGAGCAAACAGGAUUAGAUACCCUGCG